CUAACCCAUCAUCAUCAUGCUCCUCUCCUUCAUCUUCCUCUUCAUCAGCAACCUCCUCCACUUCCUCUUGUUUUAGAUUUUCCACAACUGUAAAGCCUUGUGCUGUGACCAUCAGGAGCUCUCAAGCUGAGGGACCUAUAAGGAGACCUGCGGCUCCUCCUUUUAGAGAACCCUCUCCACCAUCUCCUUCACCUCCUUUGAAGCCUGUCCCUCCUUCUUCACCAUCUUCUACGGUUGUUCCACCACCCAAGCCGGCUGCUCAGGUGGCUUUGGAUGAUAAGAAUGUGAUCACCUUAGAGUUUCAGAGGCAAAAGGCUAAGGA
rnacentral:misc_RNA from 1 species